rnacentral:misc_RNA from 1 species
AAGUCGUAACAAGGUCUCCGUAGGUGAACCUGCGGAAGGAUCAUUACAGAGUUCAUGCCCUCACGGGUAGAUCUCCCACCCUUGAAUAUCAUACCUUUGUUGCUUUGGCGGGCCGCCUCGGCUACCGGCUUCGGCUGGUGAGUGCCCGCCAGAGGACCCCAAACUCUGAAUAUUAGUGUCGUCUGAGUACUAUAUAAUAGUUAAAACUUUCAACAACGGAUCUCUUGGUUCUG